UACGGAGGGUGCUAGCGUUGUUCGGAAUCACUGGGCGUAAAGAGCGUGUAGGCGGCCAGGUAGGUCUGCUGUGAAAACUCGAGGCUCAACCUCGAGAUGUCGGCGGAAACCAUCUGGCUAGAGUCCGGAAGAGGAAAGUGGAAUUCCUGGUGUAGCGGUGAAAUGCGCAGAUAUCAGGAGGAACACCAAUUGCGAAGGCAGCUCGCUGGGACGUUACUGACGCUGAGACGCGAAAGCGUGGGGAGCAAACAGG
rnacentral:rRNA from 1 species